rnacentral:misc_RNA from 1 species
AAAACAUAAUUAGUGUCCCAAAAUGGCUGCCGGAUGGUAUUGACCUGUUAAAAGUAGUGUACAAGUUCCAAAAAGAAUCUUUUUUUAGAUUUAAAUUAAAAUAAAAAAAAUCUAACAGAUCGAUCAGCAGUCUGGUUAUAAAUAAAAUAUUUAACUGAUUAUCGUUUUUAAGUGUUGGAGUAAAAAGUACCGUGGAAAAUAGUUUAGGUGAAGGAGUUUGUUUUCCAAUCAACAAGGCCAUCAAAAUACUGUAUCAGCGUUUGCAUUUCAGUAUAAAAAUAUUUAGCAGACCAGCUGUAUUUGAAUACACAACUGAGCCAUGUUUCGGUGAUGAAUAAUAUCAAUUAUAUGACUGGGAAUUAUUGCUUUUUUAUUUUUUAAAUUAAUAGAUGAAACUAGCCGAGUAGGAGACAGUAAGAGGCUAAUAAUAUCAGCAAAGAAAGGUACUUGUGCAAAAACAAGCGGUAAUCCUAGAGAUCAUCAUUAGCUAGAAAAAUCCUAAGCUAAACCAUAAAUUCGUGUUGCUCUGGCAUCUCUCACGGCCACCUAUACCGACUCGGAGGGCGAGGACGGGGUGGACGACGAGCUCCAGGAGAAUACCUCCACUCCCCAGGGUGCCGUCCCUUACAAUAAUGCCCAAGUCGGCCAGCCCCAGCAGGCU